rnacentral:tRNA from 1 species
CGCGGUUGGUGUGCGGGCGCCCGCCGGUCUUCGGCGUCGGCGAGUCGAUCGCCGGGUUCUCGCUCUCGCUGCCGUGC